CCAGGACUUGGUGAAGGACAAGCAGAGGAGCGGGUUCCCGUGUCCUUGACUACUCGACUGCCCGUAUCAUCCACUGCUCAGAGGCUACAAAACCUCAGGAAGAAGCCACGAAAAAG